AAAGGUACUACAUACUAUAUAUACCAUGCAGUCGAGCGGUAAGGCCUGUAUCGGGGUACACGAGCGGCGAACGGGUGAGUAACACGUGGGUGAUCUGCCCUGCACUCUGGGAUAAGCUUGGGAAACUGGGUCUAAUACCGGAUAUGACCACAGCAUGCAUGUGUUGUGGUGGAAAGAUUUAUCGGUGCAGGAUGGGCCCGCGGCCUAUCAGCUUGUUGGUGGGGUAAUGGCCUACCAAGGCGACGACGGGUAGCCGACCUGAGAGGGUGACCGGCCACACUGGGACUGAGACACGGUCCCCAAAGACUUCCUCACGGAAGGCAGCAGUGGGGAAUAUUGCACAAUCGACCGAAUGCCUUGAUUGCAUGCGACGCCGCGUGAGGGGAUGAAAGGCCUUCGGGUGGUAAACCUCUUUCAGCAGGGACGAAGCGUGAGUGACGGUACCUGCAGAAGAAAGCACCGGGCUAAACUACGUGCCAGCAGCCGCGGUAAUACGUAGGGUGCGAGCGUUGUCCGGAAUUACUGGGCGUAAAGAGUUCGUAGGCGGUUUGUCGCGUCGUUUGUGAAAACCCGGGGCUCAACUUCGGGCUUGCAGGCGAUACGGGCAGACUUGAGUGUUUCAGGGGAGACUGGAAUUCCUGGUGUAGCGGUGAAAUGCGCAGAUAUCAGGAGGAACACCGGUGGCGAAGGCGGGUCUCUGGGAAACAACUGACGCUGAGGAACGAAAGCGUGGGUAGCAAACAGGAUUAGAUACCCUGGUAGUCCACGCCGUAAACGGUGGGCGCUAGGUGUGGGUUCCUUCCACGGGAUCUGUGCCGUAGCUAACGCAUUAAGCGCCCCGCCUGGGGAGUACGGCCGCAAGGCUAAAACUCAAAGGAAUUGACGGGGGCCCGCACAAGCGGCGGAGCAUGUGGAUUAAUUCGAUGCAACGCGAAGAACCCUUACCUGGGUUUGACAUACACCGGAAAACCCGUAGAGAUACGGUCCCCCUUUGUGGGUCGGUGUACAGGUGGUGCAUGGGCUGUCGUCAGCUCGUGUCGUGAGAUGUUUGGGUUUAAGUCCCGGCAACGAGCGCAAACCCUUGUUCUUAUGUUGCCAGCACGUAAUGGUGGGAACUCGGUAAGAAGACCUGGCCAGAGGUCAACUUCGGCAGGCAAGGGUGGGGGGAACGGACGUCAAGUCAUCAUGCCCCUUAUGUCCAGGGCUUCACACAUGCUACAAUGGCCAGUACAGAGGGCUGCGAGACCGUGAGGUGGAGCGAAUCCCUUAAAGCUGGUCUCAGUUCGGAUCGGGGUCUGCAACUCGACCCCGUGAAGUCGGAGUCGCUAGUAAUCGCAGAUCAGCAACGCUGCGGUGAAUACGUUCCCGGGCCUUGUACACACCGCCCGUCACGUCAUGAAAGUCGGUAACACCCGAAGCCGGUGGUCACGUAGACCCCCGUGGAGGAGCACUUACGCCAGUAAUUG
rnacentral:rRNA from 1 species